rnacentral:rRNA from 1 species
UACGGAGGGUGCGAGCGUUGUCCGGAAUCACUGGGCGUAAAGGGCGCGUAGGUGGCACGAGUAGUCAACGGUGAAAGCCCGGGGCUCAACCCCGGGUCGGCCGUCGAUACUCUCGUGCUUGAGCACUGUAGAGGCAGGUGGAAUUCCGGGUGUAGCGGUGGAAUGCGUAGAGAUCCGGAAGAACACCGGUGGCGAAGGCGGCCUGCUGGGCAGUAGCUGACACUGAGGCGCGACAGCGUGGGGAGCAAACAGG